rnacentral:rRNA from 1 species
UACGUAGGAGGCAAGCGUUGUCCGGAAUCACUGGGCGUAAAGAGCGUGUAGGCGGUGGGGCAAGUCUGCUGUGAAAGCGCCCGGCUUAACCGGGCGAGGUCGGCGGAAACUGCCCGACUCGAGGACGGUAGAGGGGGGUGGAAUUCCCGGUGUAGUGGUGAAAUGCGUAGAGAUCGGGAGGAACACCUGUGGCGAAGGCGGCCCCCUGGGCCGGCCCUGACGCUGAGACGCGAAGGCGCGGGGAGCGAACGGG